CGAUGAUACGCGAGGAACCUUACCUGGGCUCGAACGUAAGAUGACUGUAGGUGAAAGCUUACAUCUCUUCGGAGCAUUUUACGAGGUGCUGCAUGGUUGUCGUCAGCUCGUGCCGUGAGGUGUCGGGUUAAGUCCCAUAACGAGCGCAACCCCUACCUUUAGUUGCCAUCGGGUAAUGCUGGGGACUCUAAAGGAACUGCCUACGCAAGUAGUGAGGAAGCGGGGAUGACGUCAAAUCAGCACGGCCCUUACGUCCAGGGCUACACACGUGCUACAAUGGCCGAUACAGAGGGCAGCUACCUGGUGACAGGAUGCAAAUCUCCAAAGUCGGUCUCAGUUCGGAUCGGAGUCUGCAACCCGACUCCGUGAAGUUGGAUUCGCUAGUAAUCGCGCAUCAGCCAUGGCGCGGUGAAUACGUUCCCGGGCCUU
rnacentral:rRNA from 1 species